UCGGUGACCAGAGACUGACUGAGUGUGCUUGCAGUUUGAGGUUGAUUUUUUCUGGUAUACAUAUAAUUGGAGGUAUAUGGUAGCAAAAGAUAGUGGUAUACAUAUAAUUGGAUUUUUUUUCUUAAAUUAUUGAAAGCUAGAUAACUGGAGGUUGUGUAUUAUAAAAAUGAUGGACUAUUUGGUGUCACCUAUAACUGGUCUCGUCUUGUCUCUGUAGGUAGGCGCCAUGGACGCCGCUCUUGUGCUCAUCAAGGUCUGCUGCUCCUUGUUCCAGUCCCAUGACAAGCAGCAGCAGUAGCAUCAUGGUCUGCCCCCUCCCACCCUCUCCCAAUUUCCUCUCUUCGCUUCCCUGACCACGUCUCAUCUCUGUUGGGUCAAGGUUGGGUUGGAGCUACAGUGGCCAGCCACCGGGACGACACU
rnacentral:lncRNA from 1 species